UGGUUGAUCCUGCCAGUAGUGUACGCUUCUCCUAAAGACUAAGCCAUGCAUGUUUCCGAAUAAGAAGAAGCAAUUCUCUCUGAAUCUGCGAACGGCUCCGCACACCAGUUGUAAACUAUAGCAAGCACGUUCGGCAUCCGGCCUUUACGGGUUGGAUUCUGGGCGAUAAGGAUAACCCUGGUAAUUCUGAGGCUAAUACGAGACAUUAAAACCUGGCUGACGGGGCAACCCGGAGGUUGGGGGACGUGUUAAGUUUUUGCGAGGAUUUGCUGGGAAAAGAAACACGUUCAGACCGCGACAAAAACGGGAAGGCUCCGGCUAACCCGAGCGGCUCUUGCGAUGUGCUUCUGACCUAUCAACUAGAUGGCAGCGUAACGGACAUGCUAUGGUUACAACGGGUACAGAGGAUUAGGGUUCGAUCCUGGAGAGUGGGCCUGAGAGAUUGCUCAUACUUCUAAGGAAGGCAGCAGGCGCGCAACGUUCCCAUUGGACAAAGUCCGAGGGCGUUAGGGGAAAUAUGAAUGCCUACCAUUGGUGGGCAAUUCAAAUGGGUCUGUUCUAAACAGGCUCUCGAGUAACAAUUAGAGGACAAGUC
rnacentral:rRNA from 1 species